rnacentral:rRNA from 1 species
GACGAACGCUGGCGGCGUGCUUAACACAUGCAAGUCGAACGGAAAGGCCCUGCUUUUGCGGGGCGCUCGAGUGGCGAACGGGUGAGUAACACGUGAGUAACCUGCCCUUGACUUUGGGAUAACUUCAGGAAACUGGGGCUAAUACCGGAUAGGAGCUCCUGCUGCAUGGUGGGGGUUGGAAAGUUUCGGCGGUUGGGGAUGGACUCGCGGCUUAUCCGCUUGUUGGUGGGGUAGUGGCUUACCAAGGCUUUGACGGGUAGCCGGCCUGAGAGGGUGACCGGCCACAUUGGGACUGAGAUACGGACCAGACUCCUACGGGAGGCAGCAGUGGAGAAUAUUGCACAAUGGGCGGAAGCCUGAUGCAACAGCGCCGCGUGCGGGAUGACGGCCUUCGGGUUGUAAACCGCUUUCGCCUGUGACGAAGCGUGAGUGACGGUAAUGGGUAAAGAAGCACCGGCUAACUACGUG